rnacentral:rRNA from 1 species
UACAGAGGUCUUGAGCGUUAGGCGGAAUCACUGGGCUUAAAGCGUAUGCAGGCGGAUCGUUAAGUCGGGGGUGAAAUCCCGAGGCUCAACCUCGGAACUGCCUUCGAUACUGGCGACCUUCGAGUCCGGGAGAGGUGAGUGGAACUCCGAGUGUAGAGGUGAAAUUCGUAGAUAUUCGGAAGAACACCAGUGGCGAAGGCGGCUCACUGGCCCGGUACUGACGCUGAGAUACGAAAGCGUGGGGAGCAAACAGG